rnacentral:rRNA from 1 species
UACGGGGGGAGCAAGCGUUGUUCGGAUUUACUGGGCGUAAAGGGCGCGUAGGCGGCGUGACAAGUCACUUGUGAAAUCUCCGGGCUUAACCCGGAGCGGCCAAGUGAUACUGUCGUGCUAGAGUGCGGAAGGGGCUACUGGAAUUCUCGGUGUAGCGGUGAAAUGCGUAGAUAUCGAGAGGAACACCUGCGGCGAAGGCGGGUAGCCGGGCCGACACUGACGCUGAGGCGCGAAAGCCAGGGGAGCGAACGGG